GAUGAACGCUGGCGGCGUGCCUAAUACAUGCAAGUCGAGCGAACAGACGAGGAGCUUGCUCCUCUGACGUUAGCGGCGGACGGGUGAGUAACACGUGGAUAACCUACCUAUAAGACUGGGAUAACUUCGGGAAACCGGAGCUAAUACCGGAUAAUAUAUUGAACCGCAUGGUUCAAUAGUGAAAGACGGUUUUGCUGUCACUUAUAGAUGGAUCCGCGCCGCAUUAGCUAGUUGGUAAGGUAACGGCUCACCAAGGCAACGAUGCGUAGCCGACCUGAGAGGGUGAUCGGCCACACUGGAACUGAGACACGGCCCAGACUCCUACGGGAGGCAGCAGUGGGGAAUAUUCGACAAUGGGCGAAAGCCUGAUGGAGCCAUGCCGCGUGUGUGAAGAAGGUCUUCGGAUUGUAAAGCACUUUAAGUGGGGAGGAAGAGAAGUAAGUUAAUAUCUUGCUGUUUUGACGUUACCAAAACAAAAAGCACCGGCUAACUUCGUG
rnacentral:rRNA from 1 species